UGAUUUAGUUUAAAGGGCCGCGGUAUAUUGACCGUGCGAAGGUAGCAUAAUCAUUAGUCUUUUAAUUGAAGGCUUGUAUGAAUGGUUGGACAAAAAGUAAGCUGUCUCAAUUAUAAUGAUUGAACUUAACUUUUAAGUGAAAAGGCUUAAAUAAAUUAAGGGGACGAUAAGACCCUAUAAAGCUUGACAAUAAUUUAAUUAUACUAUCAAUUGUUAGUAUAACUUGGUUUUAAUUAAGAUUUGUUGCGUUGGGGCGACGAGAAUAUAAUAGGUAACUGUUCUUAAAUAUUUAAUAACAAAUAUAAUUGAAAAUUAGUGUGAUCCUCUAUUAGCGAUUAAAAGAUUAAGUUACUUUAGGGAUAACAGCGUAAUCUUCUUUGAGAGUCCCUAUCGACAAGAAGGUUUGCGACCUCGAUGUUGAAUU
rnacentral:rRNA from 1 species